CCUACGGGUGGCUGCAGUGAGGAAUAUUGGUCAAUGGACGAGAGCCUGAACCAGCCAAGUAGCGUGAAGGAUGACUGCCCUAUGGGUUGUAAACUUCUUUUAUAUGGGAAUAAAAUGUUCCACGUGUGGGAUUUUGUAUGUACCAUAUGAAUAAGGAUCGGCUAACUCCGUGCCAGCAGCCGCGGUAAUACGGAGGAUACGAGCGUUAUCCGGAUUUAUUGGGUUUAAAGGGAGCGUAGGUGGGUUGUUAAGUCAGUUGUGAAAGUUUGCGGCUCAACCGUAAAAUUGCAGUUGAAACUGGCAGACUUGAGUACAGUAGAGGUAGGCGGAAUUCGAGGUGUAGCGGUGAAAUGCGUAGAGAUAACGAAGAACUCCGAUUGCGAAGGCAGCUCACUGGACUGCAACUGACACUGAGGCUCGAAAGUGUGGGGAUCAAACAGGAUUAGAUACCCUAGUAGUC
rnacentral:rRNA from 1 species